UACGUAGGGUGCAAGCGUUGUCCGGAAUUAUUGGGCGUAAAGAGCUUGUAGGCGGUUUGUCGCGUCUGCUGUGAAAUUUCGGGGCUCAACCCCGAACUUGCAGUGGGUACGGGCAGACUAGAGUGUGGUAGGGGAGACUGGAAUUCCUGGUGUAGCGGUGAAAUGCGCAGAUAUCGGGAGGAACACCCGUAGCGAAGGCGGCACUCUGGGCCGUGACUGACGCUGAGGAGCGAAAGCGUGGGGAGCAAACAGG
rnacentral:rRNA from 1 species